ACCCAUUUGUAGCAUUUUUCCGAAAAUAAAAAUCUGUUCUUUAUCAGCUUGGUAUCUGAAUAGGUCUAUGUGGGAUCUUCGAUAUUAAACUGAUUUUGGAUUCAUGCGAAGUUGCUAGGGGCUUGCUCCACUUUGCCGCGGAUCAGCCCGGUUAAUUCAUUAUCUCUGAUUGGUCCGACUCCCC